rnacentral:tRNA from 1 species
GUGCCGAUAGCUCAACGGAUAGAGCAUCGUUCCAACGAAGCGAGAGGUGCGGGUUCGAUUCCCGUUCGGCAUG